rnacentral:rRNA from 1 species
UACGUAGGGGGCAAGCGUUAUCCGGAUUUACUGGGUGUAAAGGGAGCGUAGACGGCCUUGCAAGUCUGGUGUGAAAGCCCGGGGCUCAACCCCGGGACUGCAUUGGAAACUGCAUGGCUGGAGUGCAGGUGAGGUAAGCGGAAUUCCUAGUGUAGCGGUGAAAUGCGUAGAUAUUAGGAGGAACACCAGUGGCGAAGGCGGCUUACUGGACUGUAACUGACGUUGAGGCUCGAAAGCGUGGGGAGCAAACAGG